UCUUGAUUAAGGACAUGAUUUUAUUUUUUCUUCUUCUGGGCUCAUCUCUCUUCUCAUUUGAGUUGGGGUUUCUGUGAGCUUCUGGGUUCUUUUGGCUCAGGCUGGCCCGGAGCUGCUAGAUGCUUUGCGGUGGUGUCUUCUAACUGGCUUCGCUGAUUUUUCCAACGCUCCCCUUCUCUUUAUCUGUCAAAGCUGUCUCCUUUUGUUUCAUAGGAUAGGAUAGCUUCUUUCUAACGUCAUGGCUUGCAUGGUCCCUUGAUUAGUGAAUUGUGAUGGGUUCCCAUGAAAUGCGCUUCCAACUCGGCAAGUUGUUCGAGGGAAGUGCUGAAUCAAAGCACUGUUUGGCGGAGACUGGUUUUCCGAGGGCUGGCCAUUCCGUGUCACGUUAAGGUUUGUAGCGCCUUGUUUUGUAGUGGUAGGCUUUUUUUUUAUUUUCUUUUUCGGACAUCCUGACAUCUCCAUGUCACUUCGUUUUAUAAUAUGCUGCCACGUUUUCCA